rnacentral:misc_RNA from 1 species
GAUGAAGAACGUAGUGAAAUGCGAUAAGUAAUGUGAAUUGCAGAAUUCAGUGAAUCAUCGAAUCUUUGAACGCACAUUGCGCCCGCCAGUAUUCUGGCGGGCAUGCCUGUUCGAGCGUCAUUUCAACCAUCAAGCCCUGCUUGCGUUGGGGUCCUGCGGCUGCCCGCAGGCCCUGAAAACCAGUGGCGGGCUCGCUAAUCACACCGAGCGCAGUAAUACAUCUCGCUUUGGGCGUGCGGCGGGUUCUUGCCGUUAAACACCCCCUUUUUACCAAGGUUGACCUCGGAUCAGGUAGGAAUACCCGCUGAACUUAAGCAUAUCAAUAAGCGGAGGA